CAGCCCAAUGAUGGGAGUAUGCUGUGAACCAAGGCUUAUGAUUAAUGCGAUUCUGUGCACCUGAGGCCCUUU
ensembl:snoRNA